UUCUACAGGCCUUAAAUAUUCUGAAGGUACCAGUUGCCAUCUCUUCUUGGAAGCUCAGCAUAAGCAACACUUGAAUGUACUUCAGUGGGAGACUGCCAGUGAAUACCAAGUACUGCAGGUU
rnacentral:rRNA from 11 species